rnacentral:rRNA from 1 species
AUACGGAGGGCGCAAGCGUUAAUCGGAAUUACUGGGCGUAAAGCGCGCGUAGGCGGAUUGUUAAGUCUCAUGUGAAAGCCCUGGGCUCAACCUGGGAACUGCAUGGGAUACUGGCAAUCUAGAAUACAGUAGAGGGUAGUGGAAUUUCAGGUGUAGCGGUGAAAUGCGUAGAGAUCUGAAGGAACAUCAGUGGUGAAGGCGACUACCUGGACUGAUAUUGACGCUGAGGUGCGAAAGCGUGGGGAGCAAACGGGAUUAGAUACCCCAGUAGUCC